rnacentral:lncRNA from 1 species
GAUGGAUGAUUUAGGUAACAGUGUGGCCUGAUUUCUACUGAGAUGGCCUUGAACCUGGUGAGAGAAUGUGGAGCCCUGCCUAUUGUCUCUUCUGCUCAGAUAAUGCUCUUGGUGCAAAAUGCUGUAUCAUUUGUGUCCUUUUGCCGUGAUGUCCAUAUUGACACAAAUCUGGCCCCAAAUACAGUGUGGCAGUGGCUUUUUGCCCCCCUGCAGCUCUGAUGGGUAGAAAGAUUCUCAAGUGAUUGUUCUGUUCUGUUUUACCUUGGUCAGUGGGCAAGAUUUUCCCUGCACAGCUCUGUCUUCUCACAAGAUUUCCGGAUUCUGUGCCCAUUCAGAUAAUAGGUAUGUAAGUAUCAAGGACAUUUUGGCCGUAAAUGGGGCACAGGUCAGUGGGGUACAGCACUUGAGGAUAAUUUAACACCUGGUCCAUUCACUCUGCUUCCUAUGCCUCUCAACAGAAGAAUUUUGAGAAUUUUUGCCUCACCAUUUUCCUCUUGGGAAAGCCAAAUCAUAUCUUUUUAUUAUUUUGCUAGUGCUUUUAUGAGGAGGUGAUAAAAAUCUGGGAAGUAAUGUUAAUUUAUAUUUUACAUGCAGUAACAUCAUUUAUACAUAAAUCACAUUUUUUUUUCUUAUAACAGCAGACACAAAUGAUAUUCCUAAUACCUUUUUGUGAUAUCUGUUUGAUGCCAAAGGUUUAUAUCCUUUUCUCAUCUCUACUCAUUAGGCAGAAUUCAUUGUUUCUUCCUCUGUUUCCUGAUCCAGACAUUUAUUACAGCAUGCACACUGUUAAAUAGUUAAUUUAAAAGUGUGUCACUUUAUAUGUUUUAUACUCACCAUUGAAUAAUUAGGAUUGAACAAUAAGGCUUUUAUUGAAUAAAUGAGGUUUUUAAAUAUUAUACAUGAAAUUUUUGUGGUAUCGUGCAACAUACAUUAAACAUUUCAGUACCCAGUACACAGGAGAUGCUCAAUAAACACUGAGUGAAUGAAAUAUUGAAUAUGAAUUGAGUUUCAAUUACACACAAGGUCUUUUUGUAGGAAUUAGAGAUUUGAUCAGUGCUUUAAUGAAAUUACAAUAUACGGUGGAUGAUCAUUCAAUUACUUUAAAACAUUUUGAAAUGGCAUGGGGAUUAUUUUGAAUAACAUUUUAUUUUUCUUUACUGUUUUGUUUAGUUUUUUCUAAAAUACCUGGCUUUUAAAAUGAUGGUCAAAUACAAUCCUUGUGAAUUUAAUAUAUUAAAGAAUACUUAUAUAAAUGGUGUCCCUUAAAAACAUGAGCCAUUUGAAUUGCCUUUCUUAUCUUUAUGCCCACCAGAGUGUUUGGCAAAUAUUAUUUAGUCAGGUUAACUGUAGGAUAAACUAAUGUUGACUUAAGAUUAAAACAAUAUUGAUUUAUAGCUACAUAAAUUUACAAAUAGGUAAAAAAUGUCCAUUGCUCUUGAUUGCCAACAACAGUGGUAGAACUGACCAGAUUUCAUGUGCUACCUCUCUAAGAAGCAUUUCUAUUUUAGGCCCAAGGAAUGAAGCAAGGGAACUCUCUUGGGGUUUCUUUUAUAAGGACACUAAUCCCAGUCAUGAGGGCUCCAUCCUCAUGACCUAAGGACCUCCCAAUGGUCCUCCACCAAAUUCUAUCCUCUUGGGGGUUAGGUUUCAGCAGUGAAUUUGGGGAGGGUAGAUACAAUCUUUCCAUCUAUAGUAGUGGCUAAGAUUUAUGCUUCUGCAAUUCUAAUUUUAGAUUUGGAGACACCAGAGUGGAUAGGGGGCAUGGGAAAGGACCUAGAAUGACUCCUAGCCCUCUGGUUUAGGUUCCUGGGGGGAGGCUGACACCCCAGGGGAGAGCUAGUUAGACAGGUUGGAAUAGGGAAGAUGCGUGAGCAGCCUUGACAUGUUCAGAUUGCCUCUAAACUUUCAAGCACAAGUACAGAAUGAAUAGGUCCUUUCUGAGUAAAAUACAGAGAAAUCCUUAGGUUAUGUUUUGUCUCUGUGGCUGAGUCUUUAAUGCAACUAUCUGGAAGCUAAGUGUCCAAUAUCAUGUUGUUCUAAGCAAGAAUCUCAGGGCUGUUGGGUACUGGACAGAAAUAAGGAAAAUAGGCAACAAGCGUCCUAGGAAUUCAUGAAGAGCAAUUCAGAUUUGUGAACAAGAUUUCAUAUCAAGAUUCUUUUUCUUGUUUCCUGCUGCACCCACAGCGUGCUGAAGUCCCUGGGCCAGGGAUUGAACUUGCACCGUAGCAGUGACAAUACCAGGUCUUUACCUGAUAGCCCACCAGGGAACAAACGCCUCAAGAUUCUUUUUGUUUUUUUUGUUUGUUUGUUUGUUUGUUUUUUAAGUAAAGAAUAGUUCCACAGGAGGGCAGAAACCAAGGGUAAUCACCUCUGUCUGCUUCCUUCUCCAUGGAUCUCCCUGUCUUUUUUUCCAGUACUUCUUGGCCUUUCAGACAUUGGAUUCAUUCUUCUCUCUCCUGACCCUGAUUCCUCGAAAUGUUAUUAUGUCCCGAGCCCAUUUUGUCUGGUCCUCGACCUUAUGGGAUACACCUACCUUCAACUCUCCAGAUAAAUGAUGUUAUUUUUUUAUUCUCCCAGAUUCCAGCAUUCUCAGGAGAGAAUGGAAGGCAUACGGAAGUUCCCGGGAUAGGGGUGGAAUCAGAGCUGCAGCUGCUUGCCUAAGUCACAGCCACAGCAACGCCGGAUUGGAGAUGGAUCUGAGCCGCAUCUAUGACCUACGAUGCACCUUGUAGCAACACUGGAUCCUUAGCCCACUGAGCAAGACCAGGGAUUGAACGUGCAUCCUCAUAGACACUAUGUUGGGUUCUUAACCCACUGAGCCACAAGGGGAACUCCUGUCCACUUCAUUUUUAAAGCACUGAUGCAAGGAGUACUGGCAGGGUUACCUGGCAGUCAUGCAUUAAUCAGGUAUGUGAGUGAGGGGGUACUAUAGAAUGAACCCUGGGGGGAAAAAAACUUCAUGAAAACAUCACUGAAAGACAUGCUGCACUUCUUGCAGUGAAAAGAACUGGUUAUUUCCCUGUCUACUUCCCCUGUAGAAACAAGGACUUUUAUCACAAAGAUUCUUUUGUCAUAAUUAUUAACAUGGUGAGCAAUGUAAGAUUCACACAGAGGUUGUUAAAUCUUCACAUUUCUGGAGUCCUCUUCCAAACUCAUGUCAUACUUUUACAUUGUCACCAAAUACUUGUUUCUUAACAUUCAGGUUUUAUUUCCUGCCAUAAGGAGGUGCAGUAGGACUGAGAAGCCACUAGAUGUCGCUGUUGCAGGUAGCAUUUCAAAUCCUCCAACUUGAGUCUGCUAUUGUUGAAUGCAAAUAUUUCAGUAAUCGUUGACAGAAAUCAUCCAGACUAUCCUUCCUGACGGGCAAUCACAGUGAAUGGUGGUGGUUUACCUUUAAUGAACCUCAAGUAAAGAGCAAUGUUUAAAAGAGCACCCAUCUCUGCUGGCCACUGGCAGGACAGAUACCAAAGCAAGCUGGCCUCCAAGGUCCUUACAGUCUGAACACCUUUAAGCCUGAGAGUCUAAAGGCAUGAUCUCUUCUGGUUUUCUAACCUUUGUGUGCCUUUGUUUUUGUCAGGAUCAAAUCAUUUUGGUAAAUGGCAUAUUGUAUAUUCAACAUAGCAGAAUCCAUAAUAGUGAGAAACAUUAAGAAAAUAUUACAAGGAAUUCCAUUGUGGCUCAGUGGUAACAAACCCUACUAGUAGUAUUUCUGAGGAUGCAGGUUUGACCUCUGGCCUCACUCAGUGGGUUAAACAUCUGAUGUUGCCCUGAGCUGUGGUGUAGGUUGUGGAUGCAGUUUGGAUCCUGCAUUGCUGUGGCUGUGGUGUAGGCUGGCAGCUUAGCUCCCAUUCAUCCCCUAGGCUGGGAACUUUCAUAUGCCAUGUAUAUGGCCCUAAAAAGAAAAUAUUACAGUGAUGGCAAAAGUUUGCUUUGUAUUUAGGUGACUUCCCUUGGCUUAGGAGGCCAAGGCUCAGAGGCUGAGUGCUUCAGAGAAAGGGCAAUCUUCAGGCCAUUGGUCAGCUGCUCUCUGCUGGCUUAAAUUUAACUCAACUCUGAGAUUAUUGUGGGAUAUUGAAGGGGGAAGUUUUAAUUGUGUAAAGACAGUCCUUCUCAUAUUGUCUUGUCAUUUUUCUCUUUCCUUCUUCUUCUCCUGUCCUCUCCUCAACUUCUUUUGCCCUGAUUAUCCUUUUACCUUUGCCCUUAGUUCCCAGUGGCUCCAAGGCAUUUCCUAGUAGCAAUGGAUGCUCAAGAAUGUAUGAUUUUGGAACCUGGUUUCUUGUCCCUUGUCCUCUUCUCCUAAUACUUUCAACCACAAAUAAAAGAUUUCCAGCUACUAAAAAUGGAUAAUCCAUUAGGAGAGUGAAACCUAAAGAAUACUAUUGGAGACCUGGGUGGAGAGGCAUGGCCGACUGAGGCCAGUGUUUCCCAAAGUGGGUUGAGUAAAACAUCACUCCUCAGGAAUGCACACUACUAUAUAUAUAAUAGAUAACCAACAAGGACCUACCGUACAGCACAGGGAAUUCUACUUAAUACUCUGUAACAACCUAUGAUACAAAAAAGGAGUUCCUGUUGUGGCACAGUGGAAACGAAUCUGACUAGGAACCAUGAGGUUGGGGUUCGAUCCCUGGCCUCGCUCAUUGGGUUAAGGAUCUGGCAUUAUGGUGAGCUGCGGUGUAGGUUGCAGACACAGCUAAGAUCUGACAUUGCUGUGGCUGUGGUGUAUGCUGGCAGCUGUAGCUCUGAUUGGACCCCUAACCUGGGAAACUCCAUGUGCCA